rnacentral:rRNA from 1 species
GAUGAACGCUGGCGGCGUGCCUAAUACAUGCAAGUCGAGCGAACGGACGAGAAGCUUGCUUCUCUGAUGUUAGCGGCGGACGGGUGAGUAACACGUGGAUAACCUACCUAUAAGACUGGGAUAACUUCGGGAAACAGGAGCUAAUACCGGAUAAUAUUUUGAACCGCAUGGUUCAAAAGUGAAAGACGGUCUUGCUGUCACUUAUAGAUGGAUCCGCGCUGUAUUAGCUAGUUGGUAAGGUAACGGCUUACCAAGGCAACGAUGCAUAGCCGACCUGAGAGGGUGAUCGGCCACACUGGAACUGAGACACGGUCCAGACUCCUACGGGAGGCAGCAGUAGGGAAUCUUCCGCAAUGGGCGAAAGCCUGACGGAGCAACGCCGCGUGAGUGAUGAAGGUCUUCGGAUCGUAAAACUCUGUUAUUAGGGAAGAACAUAUGUGUAAGUAACUGUGCACAUCUUGACGGUACCUAAUCAGAAAGCCACGGCUAACUACGUG